rnacentral:rRNA from 1 species
UGGAAGCGUCUGGAAAGGCGCGCGAUACAGGGUGACAGCCCCGUACACAAAAAUGCACAUGCUGUGAGCUCGAUGAGUAGGGCGGGACACGUGGUAUCCUGUCUGAAUAUGGGGGGACCAUCCUCCAAGGCUAAAUACUCCUGACUGACCGAUAGUGAACCAGUACCGUGAGGGAAAGGCGAAAAGAACCCCGGCGAGGGGAGUGAAAAAGAACCUGAAACCGUGUACGUACAAGCAGUGGGAGCACGCUUAGGCGUGUGACUGCGUACCUUUUGUAUAAUGGGUCAGCGACUUAUAUUCUGUAGCAAGGUUAACCGAAUAGGGGAGCCGAAGGGAAACCGAGUCUUAACUGGGCGUUAAGUUGCAGGGUAUAGACCCGAAACCCGGUGAUCUAGCCAUGGGCAGGUUGAAGGUUGGGUAACACUAACUGGAGGACCGAACCGACUAAUGUUGAAAAAUUAGCGGAUGACUUGUGGCUGGGGGUGAAAGGCCAAUCAAACCGGGAGAUAGCUGGUUCUCCCCGAAAGCUAUUUAGGUAGCGCCUCGUGAACUCAUCUCCGGGGGUAGAGCACUGUUUCGGCAAGGGGGUCAUCCCGACUUACCAACCCGAUGCAAACUGCGAAUACCGGAGAAUGUUAUCACGGGAGACACACGGCGGGUGCUAACGUCCGUCGUGAAGAGGGAAACAACCCAGACCGCCAGCUAAGGUCCCAAAGUCAUGGUUAAGUGGGAAACGAUGUGGGAAGGCCCAGACAGCCAGGAUGUUGGCUUAGAAGCAGCCAUCAUUUAAAGAAAGCGUAAUAGCUCACUGGUCGAGUCGGCCUGCGCGGAAGAUGUAACGGGGCUAAACCAUGCACCGAAGCUGCGGCAGCGACGCUGAUGCGUUGUUGGGUAGGGGAGCGUUCUGUAAGCCUGUGAAGGUGUGCUGUGAGGCAUGCUGGAGGUAUCAGAAGUGCGAAUGCUGACAUAAGUAACGAUAAAGCGGGUGAAAAGCCCGCUCGCCGGAAGACCAAGGGUUCCUGUCCAACGUUAAUCGGGGCAGGGUGAGUCGACCCCUAAGGCGAGGCCGAAAGGCGUAGUCGAUGGGAAACAGGUUAAUAUUCCUGUACUUGGUGUUACUGCGAAGGGGGGACGGAGAAGGCUAUGUUGGCCGGGCGACGGUUGUCCCGGUUUAAGCGUGUAGGCUGGUUUUCCAGGCAAAUCCGGAAAAUCAAGGCUGAGGCGUGAUGACGAGGCACUACGGUGCUGAAGCAACAAAUGCCCUGCUUCCAGGAAAAGCCUCUAAGCAUCAGGUAACAUCAAAUCGUACCCCAAACCGACACAGGUGGUCAGGUAGAGAAUACCAAGGCGCUUGAGAGAACUCGGGUGAAGGAACUAGGCAAAAUGGUGCCGUAACUUCGGGAGAAGGCACGCUGAUAUGUAGGUGAAGUCCCUCGCGGAUGGAGCUGAAAUCAGUCGAAGAUACCAGCUGGCUGCAACUGUUUAUUAAAAACACAGCACUGUGCAAACACGAAAGUGGACGUAUACGGUGUGACGCCUGCCCGGUGC